rnacentral:lncRNA from 1 species
GCGAAGAGCAACUACCACCACCCCUCCCUCCAGAAUCCUCUAACACCAUGGAUCUAGCUUUGCUACCUUUCCCAACUACUAAGGAUGGAAUACCUAAUUUAUCCACCCCUAAUGAAAAAUCCACAAUUCUGAAUAAACCUCUUAAUUUCAUGUCUAUCAUAGGGAAUUCAACUUCUACUACGUCAAAGAGAAAAAUGAAGUUGAACUACAGAGG